UACGAAGGGGGCUAGCGUUGCUCGGAAUGACUGGGCGUAAAGGGCGCGUAGGCGGAUGGGACAGUCAGAUGUGAAAUUCCCGGGCUCAACCUGGGGGCGGCAUUUGAGACGUUCUGUCUGGAGUGGGGAAGAGGGUCGUGGAAUUCCCAGUGUAGAGGUGAAAUUCGUAGAUAUUGGGAAGAACACCGGUGGCGAAGGCGGCGACCUGGUCCUUGACUGACGCUGAGGCGCGAAAGCGUGGGGAGCAAACAGG
rnacentral:rRNA from 1 species